GACAAACGCUGGCGGCGUGCCUAAAACAUGCAAGUCGAACGGGUCACUUCGGUGGUCCGUGGCGGACGGCUGAGUAACACGUAGGUAACCUACCCUGGGGUGGGGAAUAACCCGCCGAAAGGCGGGCUAAUACCGCAUACGAUCCCUGGUCUCUGGGCUGGGGAGGAAAGUGGUGACAUGCCCGAGGAUGGGCCUGCGGCCGAUUAGCUAGUUGGUGGGGUAAGGGCCUACCAAGGCGAUGAUCGGUAGCUGGUCUGAGAGGAUGAUCAGCCAGACUGGGACUGGGACACGGCCCAGACUCCUACGGGAGGCAGCAGUUAGGAAUCUUGGGCAAUGGGCGCAAGCCUGACCCAGCAACGCCGCGUGGGUGACGAAGGCCUUCGGGUCGUAAAGCCCUUUUCCCCGGGAAGAUGAUGACGGUACCGGGGGAAUAAGCCCCGGCUAACUACGUGC
rnacentral:rRNA from 1 species